GUUUUGUUUUAGGAGUUUUUAAAAAACACUCAUCCUCAUCGAGACAGAUGCGAAACACAAAAUACCUCAAAAACACACUCAAUCUAUUCCUCUGACAGCGGGUUUGAGGAUGACAGCACCCCCAAACUAUCUUCAAGCAGAUACUCCCUGGCUUCUUUUCAGAGUUGUCUCCAGAGCUCCAGAAUGCAGUGCUCGGCUGAAAAUUUAGCCCACCAUUUGGUGUCAGAGUUCAGGAAGCAGUGGUUCUCCUCUAAGCUACUGCAAAACCCCGACGACCUCAACUCUGCUCUUGCAGGAAGUCUCUGUCCCUGUUAUGGGAGAGAACAGGAUCAGUCUAACUGAAGAGAUUGUGCAGAAGACCAGAAUGAUGUUUUUAAAUUUAUUGUGUGUAAUCAUUUGCUUUAGGAUCUACAGGAGCAACUAAUAUCCAUCAAAAAGCUUCUGAGCACAUGCAGACUAUCAACUGGAGUACUCGGUGAGUCUGACCAGCUUCCUGCUCAUCUGAUGCCAGAACUACACCUCUUCUCAAUGGAUGACCUCAUCAGGGUAAAAAAGGCUGUGUCAGGCCAAAGGCUUUAUCUGUGAGUUCUGUCACAGGGAGGAAGUGCUUUUCCCUUUUCAGAGAGACAUCUGCACCUGCUGCCAAGAUUUUUUUAGACUGCAGAGCCUGUUUCCACAUCUACUUCUGUGAUGAAUCAUGUCCCAAAUGUGCCAGACUGGAGAAACGAAAGAAACUCCAGCAAGACAUCAAUUUAUGAAAUCUCCUACAUGUCCUUCACUGCAUUUUAAAGUGGCGUAAAGAGGUCUUGAACUGUUCUUAGUUUACUGACAUGCUUUAUGUGCUGUAAUUUUGUAAAGCAUAGAUGAAUGUAGUUUUGAUAUUGUUCGAUGUUGUACAUUGUAUUUCCAUUAAGUAACAAGCAUUACAAUGUGUGAACACAGAGACCUGCCAAACUCUAUUAUGUUCGUAUUUUGAACACAUGAUUAAUUCAUGAUAGUUUAGUCACAUUUCAUUCUGCAGUUGGUUGCAAAAUAUGGGGAUUGUUCUUGUGGACGUUUAGAAAAUAGUCUUUCCCUUAUUGAUUGAAAGUCAUGAACAUUCUCCACCACAGGAUCUUUUUAAUAGCAUUCUCUGGUCGAACUGACGUUUUAUAUUAUUUAAUAUUAAAUAAAUGAAUUUGUUUUAUUUAAUAUUGUAUUUAUUGUUAUUUAAUAAUUAUAUUUGUUUUAGGAUUCAAAACUUGUUUAAGAUUUAAAGUUUGAGUCAAGGGUAAAACAAUAAAAUACGGGCAUUUAAAUAAUAAUAAUAAAAAAAGUUAUUUUUUUAUAUAAUUUAAAUUUGUUGAAAUAGAACCUCUUGAACAUAGGAAUGCUCAAAAAGAAUGAAAAAUCUUAAUGUUUAAAGGAUUAUUGGAUCGACAUAAAAGAGCUGUCAGAAGUGGGAUUCGAACCCACGCCUCCAUUCGGAGACCAGAAAGCCCGCUUCACAGGAAGGUUUGAACCUUGAGUCUGGCGCCUUAGACCGCUCGGCCAUCCUGACAUACGUAACCCGCUGAACUGAAGCCUUUCUGUCCAUUUCCCCUUAAUCUGUCAUGACGGUUUCUCAAAUUAAGACUGCUGCUUCGUUAAAAUAUGCAUGUAUAAACC